rnacentral:rRNA from 1 species
UGGGAAUUUUGGACAAUGGGCGCAAGCCUGAUCCAGCCAUGCCGCGUGCGGGAAGAAGGCCUUCGGGUUGUAAACCGCUUUUGUCAGGGAAGAAAUCUUCUGAGUUAAUACCCCCGGGAGGAUGACGGUACCUGAAGAAUAAGCACCGGCUAACUACGUGCCAGCAGCCGCGGUAAUACGUAGGGUGCAAGCGUUAAUCGGAAUUACUGGGCGUAAAGCGUGCGCAGGCGGUUUUGUAAGACAGAGGUGAAAAUCCCCGGGCUCAACCUGGGAACUGCCUUUUGUGACUGCAAGGCUUGAGUGCGGCAGAGGGGGGAUGGAAUUCCGCGUGUAGCAGUGAAAUGCGUAGAUAUGCGGAGGAACACCGAUGGCGAAGGCAAUCCCCUGGGCCUGCACUGACGCUCAUGCACGAAAAGCGUGGGGAGCAAAACAGGAUUAGAUACCCUGGUAGUCCACGCCCUAAAACGAUGUCAAACUGGUUGUUGGGAAAGGUUCCUUCUCAGUAACGUAGCUAACGCGUGAAGUUGACCGCCUGGGGAGU